GAUGAAGAACGCAGCGAAAUGCGAUAAGUAAUGUGAAUUGCAGAAUUCAGUGAAUCAUCGAAUCUUUGAACGCACAUUGCGCCCGCCAGUAUUCUGGCGGGCAUGCCUGUUCGAGCGUCAUUUCAACCAUCAAGCCCCCGGCUUGUGUUGGGGACCUGCGGCUGCCGCAGGCCCUGAAAACCAGUGGCGGGCUCGCUGUCACACCGAGCGUAGUAGAUUUUCAUCUCGCUCAGGGCGUGCUGCGGGUUCCGGCCGUAAAAAGCCUUAUUUACCCAAGGUUGACCUCGGAUCAGGUAGGAAGACCCGCUGAACUUAAGCAUAUCAAUAAGCGGCGGA
rnacentral:misc_RNA from 1 species